GGUAAUUUCACCAGACAGAGGAUUCAUGGCUGAUGAGCCUCUGCUGUCUGCACUUGAAAAAUGUGGUGCCACUUCCUUCUGGCCUCCAUUGUUUCAGACAAGAAAUCCAAAUUGGAGUUUUCCAUAGGUCAGCAGAAGACUCAAGGGGGAUGGAUCACAAAUUAAGUACCAGUGAUUACAGUCGAAAGGCUGAGCGGUCAGUUAUAAAUGGGAUCAUCUGGAUUUUGC
rnacentral:lncRNA from 10 species